rnacentral:rRNA from 1 species
UACGUAGGGCGCAAGCGUUAUCCGGAAUUAUUGGGCGUAAAGAGCUCGUAGGCGGUUUGUCGCGUCUGCCGUGAAAACCCGCGGCUCAACUGCGGGCCUGCAGCCGAUACGGGCAGGCUAGAGUUCGGUAGGGGAGACUGGAAUUCCUGGUGUAGCGGUGAAAUGCGCAGAUAUCAGGAGGAACACCGGUGGCGAAGGCGGGUCUCUGGGCCGAUACUGACGCUGAGGAGCGAAAGCAUGGGGAGCGAACGGG